GAUGAACGCUGGCGGCGUGCCUAAUACAUGCAAGUCGAGCGAACGGACGAGAAGCUUGCUUCUCUGAUGUUAGCGGCGGACGGGUGAGUAACACGUGGAUAACCUACCUAUAAGACUGGGAUAACUUCGGGAAACCGGAGCUAAUACCGGAUAAUAUUUUGAACCGCAUGGUUCAAAAGUGAAAGACGGUCUUGCUGUCACUUAUAGCUGGAUCUGCGCUGCAUUAGCUAGUUGGUAAGGUAACGGCUUACCAAGGCAACGAUGCAUAGCCGACCUGAGAGGCUGAUCGGCCACACUGGAACGGGGACACGGUCAAGACUCCUAAGGGAGGCAGCAGUAGGGAAUCUUCCGCAAUGGGCGAAAGCCUGACGGAGCAACGCCGCGUGAGUGAUGAAGGUCUUCGGAUCGUAAAACUCUGUUAUUAGGGAAGAACAUAUGUGUAAGUAACUGUGCACAUCUUGACGGUACCUAAUCAGAAAGCAACGGCUAACUACGUG
rnacentral:rRNA from 1 species